rnacentral:rRNA from 1 species
UACAGAGGGUGCGAGCGUUAAUCGGAAUUACUGGGCGUAAAGCGCGCGUAGGCGGCUUUUCAAGUCGAUUGUGAAAAUCCCCCGGGCUUUAACCUGGGAACUGCAGUCGAGACUGUCUAGCUAGAGUAUGGGAGAGGGAAGUGGAAUUUCAGGUGUAGCGGUGAAAUGCGUAGAUAUCUGAAGGAACAUCAGUGGCGAAAGCGACUUCCUGGACCAAUACUGACGCUCAUGUGCGAAAGCGUGGGGAGCAAACAGG